rnacentral:rRNA from 1 species
UCUCAAAGAUUAAGCCAUGCAUGUCUAAGUACAAACCGGUGAAACCGCGAAUGGCUCAUUAAAUCAGUUACGGUUCCUUAGAUAUUAUUAAUCUACAUGGAUAACUGUGGUAAUUCUAGAGCUAAUACAUGCACAAAUGAUUCGACUUUCGGGAAGAAUCGCAUUUAUUAGUAACAAGAUCAAUGGGUCUUUCGGGGCCCUAUUGGUGGUGAAUCUGGAUAACUGUGCUGAUCGCACGGCCCAAGCGCCGGCGACGAAUCUUUCAAGUGUCUGCCUUAUCAACUUUCGAUGGUAGGUUAUGCGCCUACCAUGGUUGUAACGGGUAACGGGGAAUCAGGGUUCGAUUCCGGAGAGGGAGCCUGAGAAACGGCUACCACAUCCAAGGAAGGCAGCAGGCACGCAAAUUACCCACUCCCGGCACGGGGAGGUAGUGACGAAAAAUAACAAUACGGGACUCUAAUGAGGCCCCGUAAUUGGAAUGAGUACAAUCUAAAUCCUUUAACGAGGAUCAAUUGGAGGGCAAGUCUGGUGCCAGCAGCCGCGGUAAUUCCAGCUCCAAUAGCGUAUAUUAAAGUUGUUGCGGUUAAAAAGCUCGUAGUUGGAUCUCAGUUCAUGUUAAGUGGUCCACUUGCCGGUGGUUACUACUUAGCUGAACAUUUUACAGACCUGUCUUGCGAUGCUCUUCACCGGGUGUCGUAAGCGAUCUGUACGUUUACUUUGAAAAAAUUAAUUUGCUUAAAGAAGGCGUAACGCCUGAAUAAUCUUGCAUGGAAUAAUGGAAUAGGACCUCGAGUCUAUUUUGUUGGUCUUCGGAAUCUGAGGUAAUGAUUAAGAGGGACAGACGGGGACAUUCGUAUUGCGGCGCUAGAGGUGAAAUUCUUGGACCGUCGCAAGACGAACUACAGCGAAAGCAUUUGUCAAGAAUGUUUUCAUUAAUCAAGAACGAAAGUUAGAGGUUCGAAGGCGAUCAGAUACCGCCCUAGUUCUAACCAUAAACGAUGCCAACCAGCGAUCAGCCUGAGUUCUUUAAAUGACUCGGCUGGCAGCUUCCGGGAAACCAAAGUUUUUCGGUUCCGGGGGAAGUAUGGUUGCAAAGCUGAAACUUAAAGGAAUUGACGGAAGGGCACCACCAGGAGUGGAGCCUGCGGCUUAAUUUGACUCAACACGGGAAAACUUACCCGGCCCGGACACUGGGAGGAUUGACAGAUUGAGAGCUCUUUCUUGAUUCAGUGGGUGGUGGUGCAUGGCCGUUCUUAGUUGGUGGAGCGAUUUGUCUGGUUAAUUCCGAUAACGAACGAGACUCCAGCCUAUUAAAUAGACCGUUGGCUCUUUUGCGUCAACGGGACUUCUUAGAGGGACAGGCGGCGAUUCAGCCGCACGAGACGGAGCAAUAACAGGUCUGUGAUGCCCUUAGAUGUCCGGGGCCGCACGCGCGCUACACUGAAGUGAUCAGCGUGCAUAGGUAACCCGCUCUGACAAGAGUGGGUAACCCAAUGAACCUUCUUCGUGAUAGGGAUUGGGCAUUGUAAUUAUUGCCCAUGAACGAGGAAUUCCCAGUAAGCGUGAGUCAUAAGCUCGCGUUGAUUACGUCCCUGCCCUUUGUACACACCGCCCGUCGCUACUACCGAUUGAAUGAUUUAGUGAGGCCUUCGGACUGGUCGGUGCAGCUGCCUCUGGUGGCCGCGCUGUUCUGGAAAGAUGUCCAAACUUGAUCAUUAGAGGAAGUA